UAUUUUAAAUAUAUAUUUCCCAGCUUGUGUUCCCUUGUUUCAAUAGUUGUAGUCUUGGAAGCUGGAUCUGCGUGCUUGUCAUCAGCAGGAUGGAGCGCCUAUUAGCAUCUGCUACUUUGUCUGUCCGGUUAGCGGAGAAUUCGUUGAAGAUACGAUACUGAGGUGAAAUAUUCGUUUUAAGGGCAAAUUUUGCAGCUAAUUAAUGUGGCAUCAGCGCCGAGCUAAUUAUCCUUAUUAAUCAGUGGCGUCAGGAGAAGGAGACGGCAUCAUAAAAUUGUCAACUUUUUGUGUUUAAAAUUGAAAAAGUUGGCGAUUUCGUUUUAUUUUUGCGGAGCUCGCCUCCUCUUGUCGGUUGCGUUAGAUGUGGAUCAGCAGUUGGCUGUGCUCAAGGAGGUUUUAGCGUCAACUAAUGUAGGCGCUCUUCGAUCUGGGAAAUUAUGAGAGUAGCAGGAAGGAUAGAUUUUGCAGCUCCGCGCUAGGUGCCCUGAUCGAAGCGUAGGCAGCUUAUAUGGCCCGUCUAUUGCAGCGCAGCACUGCAAGUAGAUUGCAUCGGU